GUAGGUGGCAAGCGUUGUCCGGAAUUAUUGGGGCGUAAAGCGCGCGCAGGCGGUUCUUUAAGUCUGAUGUGAAAGCCCACGGGCUCAACCGUGGAGGGUCAUUGGAAACUGGAGAACUUGAGUACAGAAGAGGAAAGCGGAAUUCCACGUGUAGCGGUGAAAUGCGUAGAGAUGUGGAGGAACACCAGUGGCGAAGGCGGCUUUCUGGUCUGUAACUGACGCUGAGGCGCGAAAGCGUGGGGAGCAAACAGGAUUAGAUACCCUGGUAGUCCACGCCGUAAACGAUGAGUGCUAAGUGUUAGGGGGGUUUCCGCCCCUUAGUGCUGCAGCUAACGCAUUAAGCACUCCGCCUGGGGAGUACGGCCGCAAAGGCUG
rnacentral:rRNA from 1 species